UACAGAGGUCUCAAGCGUUGUUCGGAUUCAUUGGGCGUAAAGGGUGCGUAGGCGGCGCGGUAAGUCGGGUGUGAAAUCUUGGAGCUUAACUCCGAAACUGCAUUCGAUACUGCCGUGCUUGAGGACUGGAGAGGAGACUGGAAUUUACGGUGUAGCGGUGAAAUGCGUAGAUAUCGGGAAGAACACCAGUGGCGAAGGCGCUCUACUGGGCCACAACUGACGCUGAGGGACGAAAGCUAGGGGAGCGAAAGGG
rnacentral:rRNA from 1 species